rnacentral:rRNA from 1 species
CAGUAGCCACGGUAAUACGAAGGGGGCUAGCGUUGUUCGGAAUUACUGGGCGUAAAGCGCACGUAGGCGGCUUGGUAAGUUAGAGGUGAAAGCCUGGAGCUCAACUCCAGAAUUGCCUUUAAGACUGCCGAGCUAGCAGGUGAGAGAGGUAAGUGGAAUUCCGAGUGUAGAGGUGAAAUUCGUAGAUAUUCGGAAGAACACCAGUGGCGAAGGCGGCUUACUGGCUCAUACUGGACGCUGAGGUGCGAAAGCGUGGGGAGCAAACAGGAUUAGAGACCCCUGUAGUCCCUGUCUCUUAUAC